CGAAGGACCCAAGCGUUAUCCGGAUUUAUUGGGUUUAAAGGGUGCGUAGGCGGACUUGUAAGUCAGUGGUGAAAUCCUGCAGCUUAACUGCAGAACUGCCAUUGAAACUGCUUGUCUUGAGUACAUUUGAAGCGGGCGGAAUGUGUCAUGUAGCGGUGAAAUGCAUAGAUAUGACACAGAACACCGAUUGCGAAGGCAGCUCGCUAAACUGUAACUGACGCUGAGGCACGAAAGCGUGGGUAGCAAACAGGAUUAGAUACCCUGGUAGUCCACGCCCUAAACGAUGAUCACUCGAUGUGUGCGAUACACAGCACGCGUCUAAGCGAAAGCAUUAAGUGAUCCACCUGGGAAGUACGACCGCAAGGUUG
rnacentral:rRNA from 1 species